rnacentral:rRNA from 1 species
UACGUAUGGUGCGAGCGUUAAUCGGAAUUACUGGGCGUAAAGCGUGCGCAGGCGGUUCGUCACGUCGGGUGUGAAAUCCCCGGGCUUAACCUGGGAAUUGCGCUUGAAACUAGCGGGCUUGAGUGUGGCAGAGGGGGGUGGAAUUCCACGUUUAGCAGUGAAAUGCGUAGAGAUGUGGAGGAACACCGAUGGCGAAGGCAGCCCCCUGGGUCAACACUGACGCUCAUGCACGAAAGCGUGGGGAGCAAACAGG